rnacentral:rRNA from 1 species
AUUGAACGCUGGCGGCAUGCCUUACACAUGCAAGUCGAACGGUAACAGGUUAAGCUGACGAGUGGCGAACGGGUGAGUAAUAUAUCGGAACGUGCCCAAUCGUGGGGGAUAACGCAGCGAAAGUUGUGCUAAUACCGCAUACGAUCUACGGAUGAAAGCGGGGGAUCGCAAGACCUCGCGCGAGUGGAGCGGCCGAUAUCAGAUUAGCUAGUUGGCGGGGUAAAAGCCCACCAAGGCGACGAUCUGUAGCUGGUCUGAGAGGACGACCAGCCACACUGGAACUGAGACACGGUCCAGACUCCUACGGGAGGCAGCAGUGGGGAAUUUUGGACAAUGGGCGCAAGCCUGAUCCAGCAAUGCCGCGUGCAGGAUGAAGGCCUUCGGGUUGUAAACUGCUUUUGUACGGAGCGAAAAAGCUCUCUCUAAUACAGGGGGCUCAUGACGGUACCGUAAGAAUAAGCACCGGCUAACUACGUG